AGUGAACGCUGGCGGUAGGCCUAACACAUGCAAGUCGAACGGCAGCACAGUAAGAGCUUGCUCUUACGGGUGGCGAGUGGCGGACGGGUGAGGAAUACAUCGGAAUCUACUUUUUCGUGGGGGAUAACGUAGGGAAACUUACGCUAAUACCGCAUACGACCUACGGGUGAAAGCAGGGGAUCUUCGGACCUUGCGCGAUUGAAUGAGCCGAUGUCGGAUUAGCUAGUUGGCGGGGUAAAGGCCCACCAAGGCGACGAUCCGCAGCUGGUCUGAGAGGAUGAUCAGCCAGACUGGAACUGAGACACGGUCCAGACUCCUACGGGAGGCAGCAGUGGGGAAUAUUGGACAAUGGGCGCAAGCCUGAUCCAGCCAUACCGCGUGGGUGAAGAAGGCCUUCGGGUUGUAAAGCCCUUUUGUUGGGAAAGAAAAGCAGCAGGUUAAUACCCCGCUGUUCUGACGGUACCCAAGGAAUAAGCGCCGGCUAACUUCGUG
rnacentral:rRNA from 1 species